rnacentral:rRNA from 1 species
CAGAGGGUGCAAGCGUUGUUCGGAAUUACUGGGCGUAAAGCGCGCGCAGGCGGGUCCUGUAAGUCGGAAGUGAAAUUUCGGAGCUCAACUCCGAAGCUGCUUCUGAUACUGCGGAUCUAGGGACUGGUAGAGGCUGGGUAGAAUUACAGGUGUAGCGGUGGAAUGCGUAGAUAUCUGUAAGAAUACCCGUGGCGAAGGCGGCCAGCUGGGCCAGGUCCGACGCUGAGGCGCGAAAGCGUGGGGAGCAAACAGGAUUAGAUACCCUGGUAGUCCACGCCGUAAACGAUGGGCACUAGGUGCCGGGGGGAGCGACCCCUUCGGUGCCGCAGCUAACGCGAUAAGUGCCCCGCCUGGGGAGUACGGCCGCAAGGCUG